rnacentral:rRNA from 1 species
GACGAACGCUGGCGGCGUGCUUAACACAUGCAAGUCGAACGGAAAGGCCCUGCUUUUUUGGGGUGCUCGAGUGGCGAACGGGUGAGUAACCCGUGAGUAACCUUCCCUUUACUUUGGGAUAACUUCAGGAAACUGGGGCUAAUACCUGAUAGGAGCUCCUGCUGCAUGGUGGGGGUUGGACAGUUUCGGCGGUUGGGGAUGGACUCGCGGCUUAUCAGCUUGUUGGUGGGGUAGUGGCUUACCAAGGCUUUGACGGGUAGCCGGCCUGAGAGGGUGAACGGCCACAUUGGGACUGAGAUACGGACCAGACUCCUACGGGAGGCAGCAGGGGGGAAUAUUGCACAAUGGGCGGAAGCCUGAUGCAGAAACGCCGCGUGCGGGAUGACGGCCUUCGGGGUGUAAACCGCUUUCGCCUGUGACGAAGCGUGAGUGACGGUAAUGGGUAAAGAAGCACCGGCUAACUACGUG